rnacentral:rRNA from 1 species
AGAGUUUGAUCCUGGCUCAGGAUAAACGCUGGCGGCGCACAUAAGACAUGCAAGUCGAACGGACUUAAUCGAUUCUUUUAGAUUCGAAGCGGUUAGUGGCGGACUGGUGAGUAACACGUAAGCAACCUGCCUGUUAGAGGGGAAUAACAGUGAGAAAUCACUGCUAAAACCGCAUAUGCCGUGAACAUCGCAUGAUGAAAACGGGAAAAGAGCAAUCUGCUAAUAGAUGGGCUUGCGUCUGAUUAGCUAGUUGGUGUGGUAAAGGCAUACCAAGGCAACGAUCAGUAGCCGGACUGAGAGGUUGAACGGCCACAUUGGGACUGAGAUACGGCCCAGACUCCUACGGGAGGCAGCAGUCGGGAAUAUUGCGCAAUGGAGGAAACUCUGACGCAGUGACGCCGCGUAUGGGAAGAAGGUUUUCGGAUUGUAAACCAUUUUAGACAAGGAAGAAACAAGACAGUACUUGUAGAAUAAGCUCCGGCUAACUACGUGCCAGCAGCCGCGGUAAUACGUAGGGAGCGAGCGUUAUCCGGAUUUAUUGGGUGUAAAGGGUGCGUAGACGGGAAUACAAGUUAGUUGUGAAAUACCUCGGCUUAACUGAGGAACUGCAACUAAAACUAUAUUUCUUGAGUACAGGAGAGGUAAGUGGAAUUCCUAGUGUAGCGGUGAAAUGCGUAGAUAUUAGGAGGAACACCAGUGGCGAAGGCGACUUUCUGGACAGUAACUGACGUUGAGGCACGAAAGUGUGGGGAGCAAACAGGAUUAGAUACCCUGGUAGUCCACACCGUAAACGAUG